rnacentral:rRNA from 1 species
UACGUAGGGUGCAGGCGUUAAUCGGAAUUACUGGGCGUAAAGCGUGAGCAGGCGGUUUGCUAAGACAGGUGUGAAAUCCCCGGGCUUAACCUGGGAACUGCGCUUGUAACUGGCAAGCUAGAGUGUGGCAGAGGGGGGUGGAAUUCCACGUGUAGCAGUGAAAUGCGUAGAGAUGUGGAGGAACACCGAUGGCGAAGGCAGCCCCCUGGGCUAACACUGACGCUCAUGCACGAAAGCGUGGGGAGCAAACAGG